rnacentral:rRNA from 1 species
ACGAACGCUGGCGGCGUGCCUAAUACAUGCAAGUUGAACGCAACAAAGACACCAGAGCUUGCUCUACCGUUUUUGUUGAGUAGCGAACGGGUGAGUAACGCGUGGGUAACCUGCCUUAUAGCGGGGGAUAACUAUUGGAAACGAUAGCUAAUACCGCAUAACAAUAGAGAUUGCAUAAUCUUUAUUUGAAAGUGCCAACUGGUACACUAUGAGAUGGACCCGCGUUGUAUUAGCUAGUUGGUAGUGUAAUGGACUACCAAGGCGAUGAUACAUAGCCGACCUGAGAGGGUGAUCGGCCACAUUGGGACUGAGACACGGCCCAAACUCCUACGGGAGGCAGCAGUAGGGAAUCUUCGGCAAUGGACGAAAGUCUGACCGAGCAACGCCGCGUGAGUGAAGAAGGUUUUCGGAUCGUAAAACUCUGUUGUUAGAGAAGAAUGUUGAUUAGAGUGGAAAAUCAAUCAAGUGACGGUAUCUAACCAGAAAGGGACGGCUAACUACGUGCCAGCAGCCGCGGUAAUACGUAGGUCCCGAGCGUUGUCCGGAUUUAUUGGGCGUAAAGCGAGCGCAGGUGGUUUAAUAAGUCUGAUGUAAAAGGCAGUGGCUCAACCAUUGUGUGCAUUGGAAACUGUUAGACUUGAGUGCAGUAGAGGAGAGUGGAAUUCCAUGUGUAGCGGUGAAAUGCGUAGAUAUAUGGAGGAACACCGGUGGCGAAAGCGGCUCUCUGGACUGUCACUGACACUGAGGCUCGAAAGCGUGGGUAGCAAACAGGAUUAGAUACCCUGGUAGUCCACGCCGUAAACGAUGAGUGCUAGUUGUUUGGGGCUAUCCAGCCCUAAGUGACGCAGCAAACGCAUUAAGCACUCCGCCUGGGGAGUACGACCGCAA